UACAGAGGUCCCAAGCGUUGUUCGGAUUCACUGGGCGUAAAGGGUGCGUAGGUGGUGAGGUAAGUCGGAUGUGAAAUCUCCGAGCUCAACUCGGAAAUGGCAUUGGAAACUACCUUGCUAGAGGAUCGGAGGGGGGACUGGAAUACUUGGUGUAGCAGUGAAAUGCGUAGAUAUCAAGUGGAACACCAGUGGCGAAGGCGAGUCCCUGGACGAUACCUGACACUGAGGCACGAAAGCUAGGGGAGCAAACAGG
rnacentral:rRNA from 2 species